rnacentral:rRNA from 1 species
ACGUAGGGUGCAAGCGUUAAUCGGAAUCACUGGGCGUAAAGCGCGCGCAGGCGGCUAUGCAAGACAGAUGUGAAAUCCCCGGGCUCAACCCGGGAACUGCAUUUGAAACUGCAUGACUAGAGUGCGGGAGAGGGAGAUGGAAUUCCGCGUGUAGCAGUGAAAUGCGUAGAUAUGCGGAGGAACACCGAUGGCGAAGGCGAUCUCCUGGACCUGCACUGACGCUCAUACACGAGAGCGUGGGGAGCAAACAG